UGCAGUCGAACGGCAGCACGAGAGAGCUUGCUCUCUUGGUGGCGAGUGGCGGACGGGUGAGGAAUACAUCGGAAUCUACCUUUUGGUGGGGGAUAACGUAGGGAAACUUACGCUAAUACCGCAUACGCCCUUCGGGGGAAAGCCGGGGACCUUCGGGCCUGGCGCUGAUAGAUGAGCCGAUGUCGGAUUAGCUAGUUGGUGAGGUAAUGGCUCACCAAGGCGACGAUCCGUAGCUGGUCUGAGAGGAUGAUCAGCCACACUGGAACUGAGACACGGUCCAGACUCCUACGGGAGGCAGCAGUGGGGAAUAUUGGACAAUGGGCGCAAGCCUGAUCCAGCCAUACCGCGUGGGUGAAGAAGGCCUUCGGGUUGUAAAGCCCUUUUGUUGGGAAAGAAAAGCAAUCGGUUAAUACCCGGUUGUUCUGACGGUACCCAAAGAAUAAGCACCGGCUAACUUCGUGCCAGCAGCCGCGGUAAUACGAAGGGUGCAAGCGUUACUCGGAAUUACUGGGCGUAAAGCGUGCGUAGGUGGUGGUUUAAGUCCGUUGUGAAAGCCCUGGGCUCAACCUGGGAAUUG
rnacentral:rRNA from 1 species